rnacentral:rRNA from 11 species
ACUCAGGCAUAAAAUUUCCUUCUUGCUCCGGAUCUUGUCUGAACAUGGAAACUAAGCAGGGCCAGUCCUGGUUAGUACUUGGAUAGGGGACCAUCAAUGAAUACCAGGUGCUGUAGGC